ACUCGCUCCCCUUUUCCUGGAGCCUCAGCCUCUGGUGAAACUGGACUUUCAAGUCUGUGCAGGUGAAGGUGUGUGAGAGCGCCCGAGAUGGCAGAACAAGAGCUACAGUUCUCAACAGGGUGAGAAACAGAGGUUGAAGAUGGAGGCCAAAAUGUCACCUUUUCCAUUGAGAGAGGCACCACUGAGAAUGCAAUUUGAUGAAAAGAGCCACUUGGAGCCUGCAGACUGAAUUCCAGGUUCCAGCCCUACCCACGCUCAGGCCUACAGACUAAACCCUCCAGCAGAUUUUGUUCAAGAGAAUGAAGCUGAAAGCAAGAAGCCAAACAAACAUACCCAGUUUAUCUUCCCAAAUUUUCAAAUCAGGCAGGAUCUCUCUAAGUUGCCCAGGCUGGCCUUGAAUUUCUGAUCCUGCUGCGUCAAACUCUCAAGUCGCUGAGAUUUCAGGUACCUCUUGCUUAAUUGGAUUGGCUUCAGGAAAGGGAGAGAGCCCAAGCAGCCUUGGCAUGUCCCAGGCUGAGGCUGGAGGCUGUGGUCAGUCUGUCCAGCCUCCUGCCUCUGUUGUCUCACCUUUGUAUCCUCCUUUCCAUGUGUCAGCUCCUAAUGUGGGACACUGCUGUUGAGCUCUGGUUUUAUGCCUAGAAGUCAAGAAAAAAUUAAUCCAAUCAAGUUUCUACUGGCAGAUGGAUACUGCUGUAAAUCAAGCAGGACUUCUCCCUUCCAUAUUAUGUUGGAGCAUAUGCAAUUGCUAUUUAACCACUUUAAAAAUUACUGUUUUUUUAAAUUGUGGUACAGUUUUUAGUUGUACAGGUUAGUGGUAUUAAACACAUUCAUAAUGUGUGAUUAUCUCUACCAUUCAUGUCCAUACCUCUUUUUAAUUUUCCCAAAUGGAAAUUCUGUACCCAUUAGAUAUUGACUCACAUUUCUCCCUCACCAAUCCCCCACCCAGCAACUCCCAUUUUAUGUAUUUUUGAUUUUUGAUUUUUUGUGUGUGGUUUUAACUACUCUAUCUACUGUAAGAGGAAUGAUAUAUUUAGUUUUUUUGGGGGGGGGUUGUGCACGUGUGUGUGUGUGUGUGU